rnacentral:rRNA from 1 species
GAUGAACGCUGGCGGCGUGCCUAAUACAUGCAAGUCGAACGAAGCACAUAUGUGCUUAGUGGCGAACGGGUGAGUAAAAGAUAAGUAACCUGCCCUUGACAGGGGGAUAACGAUCGGAAACGAACGCUAAGACCGCAUAGGUAAUUAAGUUGCAUGACUUAAUUAUUAAAUAUCCUACGGGAUAGGUGAAGGAUGGACUUAUCACGCAUUAGCUAGUUGGAGAGGUAACGGCUCCCCAAGGCGACGAUGCGUAGCCGGCCUGAGAGGGCGGACGGCCACACUGGGACUGAGACACGGCCCAG